AAAAAAUAUGCCUGUUGUUCAAAUCUGAAAAAAAAUGUCCUGAAUUUUCAAGUUUAAUGCAAAUGAAAUAUAAUACACAUUUAUGAAUAAUCUCAAUAAAAUAUAUCUUUAAUUUAAUGUGCAGACGCAGUCCGUUUUAAGUUUUCCUUUGAAACAAUGUCAUUUUGUUCUUCUGCUGUAAAGGGUGAACAUUCCUAUUUUGCUUUAAAAAAAAAAAUGAUUUGAAAAGUAAUAUCAAUACUUUUAUAUUGAUAAUAUAUAUGAAUCAUAUAUUGCGUAUUACUUAAACUUUUAAGGUCUUGAUAAUCUUUAAUAUAUGCAAAAUAUUCA
rnacentral:lncRNA from 1 species